ensembl:lncRNA
GAGUGACAGGAGAUUGCGAUCUCACGUGAGGCUGGAUGUGGCCAGAAUGACCGGUUUGGCCUAGCGGUUUGUAGGGGGGAGACAGGAGACAUCAAUCAACAUAUGUAAGAUGAACACUGGUUUGAUCCGGUACAACCUGAAGCAAAAGUGAGUCAACUGGAAGCCAGGAGGGGCCUUCCAGGUCACAGAAACGGGGUCUCCCUCGGUUGCCCAGGCUGUCUCUGGUGCCCAACGCAGGGCUCCCCGUAAUCUCUACAAAUAAUCCAGUGAAGGAACACCAGAGCGUGGAAAGCUGAGGCAAAGGACUCCCGCAAUGAGGAUCUUAUAGAUGGUCCCUCCUUCCGUCUGGAUUCCUGUGUUAGGAUGAUACAGCACAGAGCUACCUCUCACCUGACCCAUGAUGAGAUGUAUAUAAAUGAGGAAGAAGAUUUUUGAGCCACUGAAAUUUGGAGGUUGUCUGUCACCACAGUUUAACCUAGCUCCCAUUGACUGAUGCAAGGCUGAAGAAUGAGUCCAAACUGGAUCUGGACAAGACAUGUGAAGAGCACUCCAGUCGGUGGUUUUGCAGCAACAGCAUUGCAUGUGGGUUUUAGGCUGAUGAUGCUCAACAGUGGACAAUUCUCUUCACCUGCCUGGGCCCCACUGCCCACCCUUCCAUACAGUGCAGGGUCACAGCUGAGCUCUCCAAGACACCUUGCAGGAUCUCAGCUUCUGAACUGUCAAGUGUCUUCUAGAUGAAGGCUUAGUCUCAUAGCCUUUGUGGCUUCCUCCAGAUUUUCACUUCUCUUGGUUGAAAACUUAGGAGGAGGGGCGGAGCAAGAUGGCCGAAUAGGAACAGCUCCAGUCUCCAACUCCCAGCGCGAGCGACACAGAAGACCGGUGAUUUCUGCAUUUUCAACUGAGGUACUGGGUUCAUCUCACUGGGGAGUGCCGGACGAUCGGUGCUGGUCAGCUGCUGCAGCCCGACCAGCGAGAGCUGAAGCAGGGCAAGGCAUUGCCUCACCUGGGAAGCGCAAGGGGGAAGGGAGUCCCUUUUCCUAGCCAGGGGAACUGAGACACAACACCUGGAAAAUCGGGUAACUCCCACCCCAAUACUGCACUUUAAGCAAACAGGCACACCAGGAGAUCAUAUCCCACACCUGGCCGGGAGGGUCCCACACCCACGGAGCCUCCCUCAUUGCUAGCACAGCAGGCUGUGAUCUACCGGCAAGGCAGCAGCGAGGCUGGGGGAGGGCGCCCGCCAUUGCUGAGGCUUAAGUAGGUAAACAAAGCUGCUGGGAAGCUCGAACUGGGUGGAGCUCACAGCAGCUCAAGGAAACCUGCCUGUCUCUGUAGACUCCACCUCUGGGGACAGGGCAAUAACAAACACAGCCGAAACCUCUGCAGACGCGAAGGACUCUGUCUGACAGCUUUGAAGAGAGCAGUGGAUCUCCCAACACGGAGGUUGAGAUCUGAGAAGGGACAGACUCCCUGCUCAAGUGGGUCCCUGACCCCUGAGUAGCCUAACUGGGAGACAUCCCCACUAGGGGCAGUCUGACACCCCACACCUCACAGGGUGGAGUACACCCCUGAGAGGAAGCUUCCAAAGCAAGAAUCAGACAGGUACACUUGCUGUUCAGAAAUAUUCUAUCUUCUGCAGCCUCUGCUGCUGAUACCCAGGCAAACAGGGUCUGGAGUGGACCUCAAGCAAUCUCCAACAGACCUACAGCUGAGGGUCCUGACUGUUAGAAGGAAAACUAUCAAACAGGAAGGACACCUACACCAAAACCCCAUCAGUACAUCACCAUCAUCAAAGACCAGAGGCAGAUAAAACCACAAAGAUGGGGAAAAAGCAGGGCAGAAAAGCUGGAAAUUCAAAAAUAAGAGCGCAUCUCCCCCGGCAAAGGAGCGCAGCUCAUCGCCAGCAAUGGAUCAAAGCUGGACAGAGAAUGACUUUGACGAGAUGAGAGAAGAAGGCUUCAGUCCAUCAAAUUUCUCAGAGCUAAAGGAGGAAUUCACGUACCCAGCAAAGAAACUAAAAAUCUUGAAAAAAAGUGGAAGAAUUGAUGGCUAGAGUAAUUAAUGCAGAGAAGGUCAUAAACGAAAUGAAAGAGAUGAAAACCAUGACCGAGAAAUACGUGACAAAUGCACAAGCUUCAGUAACCGACUCGAUCAACUGGAAGAAAGAGUAUCAGCGAUUGAGGAUCAAAUGAAUGAAAUGAAGCGAGAAGAGAAACCAAAAGAAAAAA